CCUACGGGUGGCAGCAGUGGGGAAUAUUGCACAAUGGGGGAAACCCUGAUGCAGCAACGCCGCGUGAAGGAAGACGGUUUUCGGAUUGUAAACUUCUGUUCUUAGUGAAGAAUAAUGACGGUAGCUAAGGAGCAAGCCACGGCUAACUACGUGCCAGCAGCCGCGGUAAUACGUAGGUGGCAAGCGUUGUCCGGAUUUAUUGGGUUUAAAGGGUGCGCAGGCGGAGGUGCAAGUCAGCGGUCAAAUUGCGGGGCUCAACCCCGUACUGCCGUUGAAACUGCAUCCCUUGAGUGCGCGAGAAGUAUGCGGAAUGCGUGGUGUAGCGGUGAAAUGCAUAGAUAUCACGCAGAACUCCGAUUGCGAAGGCAGCAUACCGGCGCGCAACUGACGCUCAUGCACGAAAGCGUGGGUAUCGAACAGGAUUAGAUACCCGUGUAGUC
rnacentral:rRNA from 1 species